rnacentral:rRNA from 1 species
UACGUAGGGAGCAAGCGUUGUCCGGAAUCAUUGGGCGUAAAGCGCGCGUAGGUGGCCCUGUAAGUCCGUUGUGAAAGUCAAAGGCUCAACCUUUGAAAGCCGAUGGAUACUGCAGGGCUAGAGUACGGAAGAGGCGAGUGGAAUUCCUGGUGUAGCGGUGAAAUGCGCAGAUAUCAGGAGGAACACCGAUGGCGAAGGCAGCUCGCUGGGACGGUACUGACGCUGAGACGCGAAAGCGUGGGGAGCGAACAGG